UCCUUGUCUUCCUCUUUUACUCACCAAACCCUCUCUUGCAUCUUCCUCAACUCUUACAUUUCUCAUUGGUUAUCGUUCUCACUCACUCUCUCACUUAGUCUCUCCUGGUUGGUAAAGUUUUUUUUCCAGAAACAGACAUUUUCACAAGUAAAUCCAGUUUCCAUUCAUGUUGUAAAGUGUCUCGAGUAGCCAACGAAGGAAACGUUCAUCGUUCCCUUGCAACCACACCAGUUGGGUUACUCGAUGCCAGUUGAAACACUUUCAUUGUGCAAGACUGUCAACCUUUACUUAUCAAUGUUAUCUUAUCAAAGGAAAAAUGUUUUUUUCUUCUUUUUCGUUUCCUUUUCCUUCUUGAGCACUUUUCACAUUUCACUCUUGUUUCUCAUUCAUCAUAUGCAAGUUUACUAGUUGCCGUCAAUGAAACCCAAAGGUUAACUCAACACACGGAUUUAACAAGGUUAACAACGAGACCGAUCAACGUCAACACGACUCAUUGAAGACUCAACAAGCAUUGAACACCAAACACAACCCAUUUCACAGUUAACAGAGUGAAACAAAUCUCAUCUUGAAUCACACUUUUCACCUCCUCUCCUUGUCUGCCUCACCCACACAUGAAGCAGCACACAAACACACACUCUUCACCUCCUACUUUGACACUUUACUUUUUCAUCUCACGUCUUCAUCAUCAAAUGAUCAUUAAGUGAGACUAAAAGUGAACAACAACAAAAAAAUGAAGAGCAAAAGCAAAGAUCAGAACGAGAAUGAUUGGAUUUACCGAGGAAACCCAAAAGAAGCAUUCAUUGAUAUUGGACGAGUGACUAUUAGUGUUGUUUAACUGGACCAUUGACGUGUAAACCCACUUGUUAAACUGGACUUUACGACGAAUCUAUUUCUUUACAACAAAAGAUUUUCCGUUUUUCAUCAGUUGAUCAAUUUUGUGAUUCAAUAUGGAUUUACCAUUAAAAUGUUCAUUUCAAGGAAUUCGAAAACUUGGAAUUUGCCCACUUUUCUGGACUUGCGGUUCUUCAUGGUUAAUAUAUUUCACCAGCUUUUCCAUGGUUUGCAAGGUUGAAAGGUGAAAUGUAAAUGCUGGAUUUCACAAGGAGAAGCAAAGGAAUAACGAGCGAAACGAAAAAAAAGUUUCCAUUUUUAUCCUGACAACUUGACAUGUUUCAAAAUCAUCAUCACCAAAGGCUAACCUUUUUCAUCUCUUUGUAUUCCAAUGCAUCAACAGUGAGUUUCAUCAAAUAGAUUUACUCUUAUUUUCCUUCUCAGUUUGCCAUUUUUGGACGAAAAAAAGUGAAGAUAAAUUUUUUUCUUGCUCAACUUCAUCUUUAAAUGCACCUCAACUCGACAUUUGAUGAAAUUUUGAUAAAAAAACUCAAAUUCUCAAGAGUCAAAUGAGUUUAAAAUGAAAAUUUACAUUGUUUUUGUUCCAUUAAGUAAUCAUUUUGAAGAGUUGGAAAAGAUUUACUUUUCAAAUUUUUUCAAAAGCGAAAUGAAAGAGUAAGAACAGGUGAAAGGUAAAACUGAUAUUGUUGCCAAGGUUGAAGGAAAGGUUGAACUGGACUUGAUUUGCCUAUUUUGCUUUGUAACCUUAAUCCUCUUGAAUAGCAAUUUAGUUGAUGAUAAUGAUGAUAAUAGCAUUAAUGCGUAAAACAGAAAAGGUAAGAAAAUGCUUUUUCAAUGAAAAGUUGAGGGUGAAAAUGAAGAGUAGAACAAGCAAUAUCAGGUAAGAAUAUCGAUUUUUACUUUUUUUUGCCUCUCUUUUCUCUUCUCUUCAUAUUGCAUGGUAUUGGAUGAUGGUGAGAUGAUGAGGGGAGAAAAAAUCGAUUUGUGACAUUUUCUCUCUUGUUUACUCUCUCUUUCCAACUUUCAUGUUCAUCUCUUCUCAUGAUGAAUAGAUUGGCAACACAAUCGAAGGAUUAACAAAGCAUCAGUCAAGGGCGGAAGGACAAUUGAAAAAUGAUGACAAUGAUGAUGAUGAUGAGGGUAACUUUGGUGAUUAUGUUGGCGAUGAGAUGAAGUAAAGGUUGAAAGGAAAUGUUGAAAAUUGGAAAUGAAAAAAAAGAAGAAGAAAAUUGAAUAACGAAAAGGGAAAAAAGAGGAAAAUUGAGUGACAAAAAAUUCUUGAGUGACCCUUACAACGAUGAUGAAGAUAACAUUUUUUUUCAUAAAUAUAUUUUUCUCAAGUUUACCAGUCGAGAAAUUGUAGUGUAAAACUAUCAUCUAUCAAACAAUUUGAAUGACCCAUGAUAGUUGUGACUGCAAGUGGAAAGGAUUUUCACUUGAUAUUGCCAGAGAGAAGAUAAAAAAUGUAGAAAAGAGCAAAAAUUGGAAAAGUAAUAAUGUUACCUUUCUUGUCUUCAUCAUCAUCUUUUCAUCAUUUUUUGCUUCUUAUCGAUUGCAAGGUGCUCCAGCAUUUUGUUUCAUCUUGAAUUUUGCGAUUUUUUUCUCCACUUCUUUUCAUGACAGAAGUUGAGGAGCAAAAAAAGUCGAUGAUGAUGAUUGUUCUAGAAUAGAUAUUCUUGGAGUAAUUCAAGUAGUAAUCAAAGUUUCAUCUUGUUUUUUUUCUGCUGGACCCAACUUUUGCUUCUCUUUACUACUUUGACCCCUUUUUUGGCUCUCUUGGUAAAGGUUAACUGAACAAUGAACUGGUUAAUCCAUUUGAUUUUCAUCUCGUGAUACAAAUAUCCUUGACAGUUGUUAAUCGACUUUUAAUAACCUCUUAAUCUACUUUGAGAUUAGUUCGAGAAAACUCGAUAAAGUUGAUACAUUUUGUUUGGAAAGAGAUUAAUGGUUUCAAAGCCAAAACGGCACUUGAGGACACAUGACGCUAUUUAAGCUACAGUAAAGUCUAGUAGUCAGAGUUGAUAAAACUGACAAGACAAAACCUAAAAAUCAAUCCAAUUCUGACUCUUUUACUCGAGAAGACUGUUGAAGAAGAAGAUGAAGUGGGACAAUUGUAAGACUGUCGAUCCGUGAAGAAGGUUCCGUUCUAAACUAAUAAAGAAACUCGGACCAUCGAGUAGCUAGUUUCCUCCGAAUUUUCCCUCAGAAUAGCUGGCACCAAUGGAAGUAUCAGUAGAGCGAAUGAUUGGAAGUCUUGAAGUCGAAAUGGUCUCAACCUAUUCUCAAACUCCUAAUGAUGCGAAGUUCAACUUGUUAAACUUUUAAAGCUGAACAUACUUUUGAAUGACGUUAUCCAGUAGCAUUAAGCAGAACUGGUGAACCAAAUGUUUGUUAUUGUCAGAAAGAGCCCUUUGUUGGAUCGAUUGUUUUAGAAAAAUGAAAAUUUUCUGUUUUACGGUUUGGCCCACACCUCGCUUCAUGAUAAAACUUUACCAAUAGAACCCUCGAGGGCUGAAUAUGCCAAAAGUUUUUCCAGCUUUGGCAAAUGAAGUUUAAAAUUUUAAUCAUCAAAGUAACCGCAUCUAUCAAGGUUUUCAUUCAAUUUAUUUUUGCUUGUUGAAUAACCCAAUGACGAAGCCAGUCAACUGAGCAAGCAAAGUCAACCAGACAAACUUUUCAACUUUAGUCACAAAAGUCGACGCCACAAAUGUAAACUUUUAGUCUGAAACUUUUGUUACCAGCAUAAUACAGUUACACUUGAAGAGCCUUGAACCAGUUCAUCAUUUCGAUUUUCAUUAGCAAUGGGCAAACAUUUUUCUCUGCUCAUUGUUUUAUUGAAUAAGCUUCGUCAUAAGAUAUCCAAUGGAGAACAAAAAACAAAAUCAAAUUGAUUCGAUUCCCAGUUGAGAAUGAAAAGAACAUCACUUUUAUCGUAUCAUGGAAUGAAAAGGCAGCAAUUUUGUUGUCAAUAUGAGACCCAAAAAAGCCAAACAAAUGGUUGAAUCAAUUAUAUGAAAAAAAUGGUGAAUCAAUCAAGAGGUAAAAUGAAAGACAAAACAGAAUGAAAAGAAGGAGAAAAAUGAAUUUUUCCAAGAUGGACAUUGAACCUUUUUCGCCCAUGAUCAACAUGCAAAAAUGAUUGAACUUAAAUUGGUAUUGCACCAAGAGAAAAAAGUAUAAAGGCAAAGAUGAAGAAGAAGAAAAGUUCCAACUGUUAUCAUAUUUCUUUCGUCAGUAAACAAUACAAAGUAAACAAGAGAUGAAAAAUAUUUGACAAUUUGUUGAGAAGAAGAAGUAAAAGUGAAACGAAAAUGAAUUUGAAAUUGUUAUCUCCUUAUUAUCAUCAUUUCUGAAUCUAUUUUGACCAUUGAAUAAACUCAGCAUAAGCUUAACUCACGACGAACAAAUGAAAAAGAAAAUAAAUUGAAAAUAAAAUAUUUCACUUUUUCUUCUUUUCCAUUAUUCUUUGCCAUCAUUGAAUGCUAUAGAUUUUUGUGUCUCUUUACAUUCUCAUAUAAUAUAUAAAUAUACAUAUCAAUUCCUUUUGCAUCAUCAUUCUGCCAUCUUCAUCUCUUCAAGUUGAGCAUGAGAAGCAAGAGAAGAAGAGAAAAAAUGAAAAUUGGAAAGAAAAGAAAUCUUUCCAAUUUCCAGAAUUUUUAUUAUUGUAAAUCUUUGUGUGUCUAACAUUCUUGGUAGUUUCUGGUAAAGAAGAAAAUGUUUUUUUUCUCUUUCAUCAUUUUCAUCUUUUUUUGCUUUUCGUUGCUGCUCACUGCUUCAUCUUCAUCCCUUGUAUAAUCAGCUAUGUAAGUAAAUUUCAUUGCUCAACAUCAGAUGAGGAAAAAAAAGAGUUUCAUCUUCAUCUUGAACCAAUUUUCUCUUUAUACACUUUCUUUCAUCCUUUAUUCUGUAUCAACAGUAAAAUCAGAAGAAGAGUUGAAAUUCAGUUUUUUUCUCCUCUUUCAUGGUAAAAUGCUAAAUAGUAUCUGUAAAUGUUGAUACAAUGUUUUGCUUUUCAUUUUGCAAAGGCAAGGCAACUGAAAGAAGGAUGAUGCUGAUGAUGAAGGGAACAAAAAAUUCAAUUCUUGGUUUCAACUUUUUUUUUCUUCUUCUUCUCUUGCACUUUACAACCAAAAAUAACCAACUUUUAGUUUACACUUAAUCAUAAAGAAACUGGUUAUUCUCAAAUCAAUUUUUCUCAUCGCAUUCAAUUGCUUUCCAGUUUCUAGUUUUUCAUGGUUAUGAAAAUGCUUUUCCAACUUGAACAUUAUUCAGUUUAAUUUAAAUCUUUAUUGACAAAUGCUGAUUUCACUUGAAGAUAGACUGGUA